AGGUGGUAAUUUUAUGGGGUAGAACGGCUACGUGGUACUGCGCGAGCAAUGAUCAAUCGCAAUUACGCAGAAUUCGCGGUAUUAAACGUACGACGACAGCUAAAUUGCGAUAAUCAAUAAUUAAAAGUUGCACGAGGAACGUACACGUGUACGUUUACGGAAAUAAUGGCUCUUAAAAAUGCAAAUGAUGCAAAUGGUCAACGUUGUUGUUAAGCUUCAUUAAAACAAAUGUUUAGAAAAAGUAAGACCUUACAUUUUCUCGAUAGAUAAAAAUUAGAUCCUAGCGAACUAUACGAUAAAUUCAUGCAAAUGACACAGACAAUUAUCGUGGAACUAUAACUGCACAUUAAUGCACAUUAAUCGGUGAAAAAAAAAAAAAUAUGUUGCAGAUAAGAAGGUAAAACCGCAAUUUGCAAUUUCGAUAAUAAAGCUGUAUUUAAUGAUACUUACAUUCUCCAUGAAUUUAAAAGUUAAGUUUUAUAAGAGUUACAUGAUAAAUGUCGUGAGUAACGUAUGGUAUUGCUUUAUCGAAUAAUAGCUAGAUAUAUUAUGUCAACGAAUAAAAAGGAAAAUGUAAUGUCGAUAAAAAGACUAAAACAUUGCACGAUAAAAUUAUGGAUGAUACUUAAAACAUUGCACGCAGUACAAACAUAUACGAAGUAGAAGUCUUCAUAAUCUAAAAAUGAAUUCAGUUGGAGAAUUUAUAAAUGGAAAAUACAUUUAUAUAUUAUGAUACAUACAUUUUAUGGUCAUAAACUCUUCCAAAGUUAGAUCAAUUUCUUCCACAAUGAUCGUCAAUCGUAUUUUAGAUCUCACUAUUAUGAACAAUAAAACAUAACUGUCGGACGAUAUCAUACUAUAUCAAAAACAAUGCAUAUAAUAUACUCAUAUAAAUUUUCAUAUUAAUA